rnacentral:snRNA from 1 species
UUGCUUCAGCAGCACAUAUAUUAAAAUUAGAACAAUACAGAGAAGAUUAGCAUGGCCCUUGCACAAGAAUGACACAUACAUUCUCAAAGCAUUCUAUAUUUUA